UGGGGAAUAUUGCACAAUGGGCGCAAGCCUGAUGCAGCCAUGCCGCGUGUAUGAAGAAGGCCUUCGGGUUGUAAAGUACUUUCAGCGGGGAGGAAGGGAGUAAAGUUAAUACCUUUGCUCAUUGACGUUACCCGCAGAAGAAGCACCGGCUAACUCCGUGCCAGCAGCCGCGGUAUUACGGAGGGUGCAAGCGUUAAUCGGAAUUACUGGGCGUAAAGCGCACGCAGGCGGUUGAUUGAGUCAGAUGUGAAAUCCCCGGGCUUAACCCGGGAAUUGCAUCUGAUACUGGUCAGCUAGAGUCUUGUAGAGGGGGGUAGAAUUCCAUGUGUAGCGGUGAAAUGCGUAGAGAUGUGGAGGAAUACCGGUGGCGAAGGCGGCCCCCUGGACAAAGACUGACGCUCAGGUGCGAAAGCGUGGGGAGCAAACAGG
rnacentral:rRNA from 1 species